UACGCAUUCUGAGCGUGUCAAUGCAGAGAUGCUCAGGGAUUUUUCACAGGAAGUUUAUAUAUUGAGGAAGAUUCGGCACAAGAAUGUUGUGCAAUUUAUAGGAGCAUGUACACGACCUCCAAACCUAUGCAUUGUGACAGAAUUUAUGUCCAAAGGAAGUGUAUACGAUUUUCUGCAUAAGCACAGUG